GGACUUGUAGUGCUUACCAUAGGCUGUGUUCUUACACUGACUGUGUAGAAGAAGCCUGAGUAAAUCCUACCUGAUACACACCCAAGCCCAGGCCCUGUGCCUGGUCUGUAUUAUGAACAUGGAAUUGAGA
ensembl:snoRNA